rnacentral:rRNA from 1 species
CCGGGGGCGGCUACACAUGCAAGUCGAGCGGUAGCACAGAGAGCUUGCUCUCGGGUGACGAGCGGCGGACGGGUGAGUAAUGUCUGGGAAACUGCCUGAUGGAGGGGGAUAACUACUGGAAACGGUAGCUAAUACCGCAUAAUGUCGCAAGACCAAAGUGGGGGACCUUCGGGCCUCAUGCCAUCAGAUGUGCCCAGAUGGGAUUAGCUAGUAGGUGGGGUAACGGCUCACCUAGGCGACGAUCCCUAGCUGGUCUGAGAGGAUGACCAGCCACACUGGAACUGAGACACGGUCCAGACUCCUACGGGAGGCAGCAGUGGGGAAUAUUGCACAAUGGGCGCAAGCCUGAUGCAGCCAUGCCGCGUGUGUGAAGAAGGCCUUCGGGUUGUAAAGCACUUUCAGCGGGGAGGAAGGCGAUAAGGUUAAUAACCUUGUCGAUUGACGUUACCCGCAGAAGAAGCACCGGCUAACUCCGUGCCAGCAGCCGCGGUAAUACGGAGGGUGCAAGCGUUAAUCGGAAUUACUGGGCGUAAAGCGCACGCAGGCGGUCUGUCAAGUCGGAUGUGAAAUCCCCGGGCUCAACCUGGGAACUGCAUUCGAAACUGGCAGGCUAGAGUCUUGUAGAGGGGGGUAGAAUUCCAGGUGUAGCGGUGAAAUGCGUAGAGAUCUGGAGGAAUACCGGUGGCGAAGGCGGCCCCCUGGACAAAGACUGACGCUCAGGUGCGAAAGCGUGGGGAGCAAACAGGAUUAGAUACCCUGGUAGUCCACGCCGUAAACGAUGUCGAUUUGGAGGUUGUGCCCUUGAGGCGUGGCUUCCGGAGCUAACGCGUUAAAUCGACCGCCUGGGGAGUACGGCCGCAAGGUUAAAACUCAAAUGAAUUGACGGGGGCCCGCACAAGCGGUGGAGCAUGUGGUUUAAUUCGAUGCAACGCGAAGAACCUUACCUGGUCUUGACAUCCACAGAACUUUCCAGAGAUGGAUUGGUGCCUUCGGGAACUGUGAGACAGUGCUGCAUGGCUGUCCUCACCUCGUGUUGUGAAAUGUUGGGUUAAGUCCCGCAACAGCGCACCCUUAUCCUUUGUUGCCGCGGUCGGCCGGGAACUCAAAGGAGACUGCCGUGAUAACUGGAGGAAGGGGGGAUGACGUCAGUCAUCAUGGCCUUACAACAGGCUACACCUGCUACAUGGCAUUUCAAAAGAAAGGA